rnacentral:rRNA from 1 species
UCCCGCAAGGGACGCUAGUACAGGUGGUGCAUGGCUGUCGUCAGCUCGUGUCGUGAGAUGUUGGGUUAAGCCCCCGCAACGAGCGCAACCCUUACCCUUAGUUGUUUUCCCGAAAGGAUUACCCUCUAAGGGGACUGCCCCGGACAACGGGGAGGAAGUGGGGAUGACGUCAAGUCCGCAUGCUCCUUACGUCUAGGGCUACACACGUCCUACAAUGGGGUCGACAGUGGGAUGCAAAGCCGCGAGGUGGAGCCAAUCCCCAAACGGCCUCUCAGUUCGGAUAGUAGUCUGCAACUCGACUACUUGAAGUCGGAAUCGCUAGUAAUGGCGGAUCAGCAUGCCGCCGUGAAUACGUUCCCGGGUCUU